AACUAAUGAUGACAUUAUGUGGCCCCUCGUUACCCUUCACAUGACAAGCUGUAGGCCUGCUGGUGGAAGACUCUUCUCAACUGGCAUCAGGGCAUCAGAUCAGACUGAACUCUCCUUUCAAAGACGCUCCUUUCAGUGUUCAACAUCAAGUCCUGUCGUCUCCUGCUGCAAUCAUCAACACUGGAAGUGGUUGCCCUGGGUUGCAGGCCUCGCAGCAGGCUCCCAUGACUGGAAGCUUUAAUGCUGCUGCUAUUUCAAGCCCUGUGAUGUCAUCUGAAGGAGGGGCCGGGCCCUCAUCCCCGGAGCGGUGAGUCAGAGCCAGAGAGGGAGGAGGAGGAGGAGGAGGAGAGGAGGUUCAGUGAGGAAGAG